GUUUCAUUUAAAUUUAAAUUAAAACUUUAUUUUUUAGUUAAAAAGCUAAAAUUUUAUUAAAAGACGAGAAGACCCUAUAAAUCUUUAUAUUUAUUUUUAUUUUAAUUUUUUUGGGUAAAUUUUAUUAUAAUAAGAUAAAAUAUUUUAUUGGGGUGAUAUUAAAAUUUAAUUAACUUUUAAUUAUUAUAAUUACAUUAAUUUAUGAAUUAUUGAUCCAUUAAUAAUGAUUAAAAAAUUAAGUUACUUUAGGGAUAACAGCGUAAUUUUUUUGGAGAGUUCUUAUCGAUAAAAAAGUUUGCGACCUCGAUGUUGGAUUAAGAGAUAGUUUUAAUGCAGAAGUUAAAAUAUAAAGUCUGUUCGACUUUUAAAUUCUUACAUGAUCUGAGUUCAAACCGGUGUAAGCCAGGUUGGUUUCUAUCUUUAAUUUUAUAUAAUAUUUUAGUACGAAAGGAAUUUAUAUUAAAAAUAAUUUUUAAUUUAUGAAU
rnacentral:rRNA from 1 species